GAUGAACGCUGGCGGCGUGCCUAACACAUGCAAGUCGAGCGUGAUUUAUGAGGACGAAACUUCGGUCUAGGAAUCAUAAUGAAAGCGGCGGACGGGUGAGUAACGCGUAGGCAACCUGCCCUUGACACAGGGAUAGCCUCGGGAAACCGGGAUUAAAACCUGAUGACGCCAAACAGUCACAUGGCUGUUUGGCCACAGAUUUAUCGGUCAAGGAUGGGCCUGCGUCUGAUUAGUUAGUUGGUGGGGUAACGGCCUACCAAGACGACGAUCAGUAGCCGACCUGAGAGGGUGAUCGGCCACAUUGGAACUGAGACACGGUCCAAACUCCUACGGGAGGCAGCAGUGGGGAAUAUUGCACAAUGGGCGAAAGCCUGAUGCAGCAACGCCGCGUGAGCGAUGAAGGCCUUUGGGUCGUAAAGCUCUGUCCUUGGGGAAGAGACAAAUGACGGUACCCAAGGAGGAAGCCCCGGCUAACUACGUGCCAGCCGCCGCCGUAAAAC
rnacentral:rRNA from 1 species